UACGAAGGGUGCAAGCGUUACUCGGAAUUACUGGGCGUAAAGCGUGCGUAGGUGGUUUGUUAAGUCUGUUGUGAAAGCCCCGGGCUCAACCUGGGAAUGGCAAUGGAUACUGGCAAGCUAGAGUGCGGUAGAGGGUAGUGGAAUUCCCGGUGUAGCGGUGAAAUGCGUAGAGAUCGGAAAGAACACCAACGGCGAAAGCACUCUGCUGGGCCGACACUGACACUGAGAGACGAAAGCUAGGGGAGUGAAUGGG
rnacentral:rRNA from 1 species